rnacentral:rRNA from 1 species
GCAUAUCAAUAAGCGGAGGAAAAGAAACCAACCGGGAUUGCCCUAGUAACGGCGAGUGAAGCGGCAAGAGCUCAAAUUUGAAAGCUGGCCCCCUCGGGGUCCGCAUUGUAAUUUGCAGAGGAUGCUUCGGGAACGGCCCCCAUCUAAGUGCCCUGGAACGGGCCGUCAUAGAGGGUGAGAAUCCCGUCUGGGAUGGGGUGGCCGCGCCCGUGUGAAGCUCCUUCGACGAGUCGAGUUGUUUGGGAAUGCAGCUCUAAUUGGGUGGUAAAUUUCAUCUAAAGCUAAAUAUUGGCCGGAGACCGAUAGCGCACAAGUAGAGUGAUCGAAAGAUGAAAAGCACUUUGAAAAGAGAGUUAAACAGCACGUGAAAUUGUUGAAAGGGAAGCGCUUGCGACCAGACUCGCCCGCGGGGUUCAGCCGGCACUCGUGCCGGUGUACUUCCCCGCGGGCGGGCCAGCGUCGGUUUGGGCGGCCGGUCAAAGGCCUCUGGAAGGUAACGCCUCUCGGGGCGUCUUAUAGCCAGGGGUGCCAUGCGGCCUGCCCGGACCGAGGAACGCGCUUCGGCUCGGACGCUGGCAUAAUGGUCGUAAGCGACCCGUCUUGAAACCACGG